UACAGAGGGUGCAAGCGUUAAUCGGAAUUACUGGGCGUAAAGCGUGCGUAGACGGUUACAUAAGUCGGGUGUGAAAGCCCCGGGCUCAACCUGGGAAUUGCAUUCGAGACUGCGUAGCUAGGGUGCGGAAGAGGGAAGCGGAAUUUCCGGUGUAGCGGUGAAAUGCGUAGAUAUCGGAAGGAACACCAGUGGCGAAAGCGGCUUCCUGGUCCAGCACCGACGUUCAGGCACGAAAGCGUGGGGAGCAAACAG
rnacentral:rRNA from 1 species